GGAUUCCCCUAGUAACGGCGAGUGAAGAGGGAAAAGCUCAAAUUUUAAAUCUACCUGGUUCCCAGGUCGAAUUGUAAUUUGAAGAAGCGAUAUCGGUGUGGAGGUCUGGUUCAAGUUCUUUGGAACAAGACAUCAUGGAGGGUGAGAAUCCCGUGCAUGAUCAGACCAAAAUACUUAAUAUUCGUUUUCUAAGAGUCGAGUUGUUUGGGAAUGCAGCUCAAAAUGGGUGGUAGACUUCACCUAAGGCUAAAUAUCAGCGAGAGACCGAUAGCGAACAAGUACUGUGAAGGAAAGAUGAAAAGAACUUUGAAAAGAGAGUUAAAUAGUACGUGAAAUUGUUGAAAGGGAAACGAUUGAAGUCAGUCAUGCUAGUGAAAAAUCAGUUUGACGGGUUUUGAGUUCGGGAGUAGAGGCAGGGUCAAACCGUUUCUCUUUUGGACUUGGGAUUUGUCGGAAGUACUUUUUCUUUGGCAGGUCAGCGUCGGUUUCGGAGGUUGUAAAAUACUUGGGGGAAAGUAGCUCUGCUUCGGGAGAGUAUUAUAGACCCUGGGGGAUGCNGCCUGNGGGAUCGAGGAUUGCAGCAAAUGCCUUUGGNUUNGCCCCCGAUCUCUGGAUGUUACCUNUCUUGNGACAACAUUCUUGCCACCGGGGAGUACUGAUGCCCAUUAGGUUAAAAC
rnacentral:rRNA from 1 species